GGUUUACCGUCCCACAUACAUACUCAAAAUGUAUGUGGGACGGUAAACC
ensembl:miRNA Mir299b microRNA 299b